rnacentral:lncRNA from 13 species
UUAUCAGCUGGGCACUGCACUUUGAACUGUCAGGAGAAGGAGUGGAGCAGGCCCUACUGUUGGGAAAAGGAAUGGAGUAGGCCCUACUGUUGGGAGAAGGAAUGGAGCAGGCCCUACUGUUGGGAGAAGGAAGGGAGCAGGCCCUACUGUUGGGAGAAGGAAGGGAGCAGGCCCUACUGUCGGGAGGGGGAAUGGAGCAGGCCCUACUGUCGGGAGGGGGAAUGGAGCAGGCCCUACUGUCGGGAGGGGGAAUUUUUAAAAAUGACAUGCCCUCCUAAAACUGGUUCUGUUCUUGAUAUUAAGAUUCUGACAAUGGCGGCUUGUUAUAUAGGCUUAUUUAUGAAAAGUCAAGGACCGAGGGGGGCACGACUUAAAAAAUCAAAGGUCAUACCCCAGGAGUUAGAGGUCAGAAUCAUCAUUCUUGACCCCAGCUUGUUUGCCCUGGUUGUUUCCAUAGCCUGAGGGGGAAGCAAGCUGAGAUGGACUGGCUGUGGUAUUGGACCUUUCCAGAGAGUAUUGAUCCUUAAACAGCACUAUUGACUAGUGCCAAAGGCAACAGAUUGGUCUUUUUGACUGGUGUGAUAAUGAUCACCCGUUAGUAGCUCUGUCCGACCUGCCGAGGGGCGGACUCUGACUCUGAUUGUGCUGUGUGCAAAACAAAUGCAGUGUCAACGCCAACUCAAGGUCUGUUCACCCUCAGACCUAAAGCCCUGUGGAGAGCGGAGAGGAAAUAUAGGGGCCAGGAUAUAACGGGAGUGACUACCCUCUUAGAAAUUAUCUACGAUUUUAAUAAUCUUUCUAGCUUUUUCUCUACCUGAGAAAGAGGACUGACUGUUGCCCCCCUCCGGCUCUGUUCCGCUGGUCUUGAAAUGCAGCAGUAACCACGACCACUAAGAAGGCAGUGAGUGUGGCACCAGAGCCGGAAAACCUCAGGAUCCUCCUUCGGAAAAUGUACUGCUGUUGUGGUACGAGAGGCAAGACACUCCGUCUGCUAGUCCAACCAACCUCACUCCUUCCCCGUUUCCAGCAGCGUCUCUAGAUCUCAUUCUCAGAGGUCAGCUGGCUCAGGAGGUGCGGAGGGAUGUUCUGACUUCUGCAGGGUGGAGAGUGGAGUAAAACUCACUGUCAUUGAGCCUUGUAAAAAUGUCCUUACGUAAGUUGUCGCAGCAACCCUUCACUCUCCCGUCAGAGGCAGGUUGAAAGGGUCAUGUUGUGUUUCGCACCAAACGAAGGAAAACUGAGCUCUGUAUAGACCUGACAACUUCAAUCGUUUUGUAAUGGACUGGAAGUCGUUCCAAAGGCAAUCGUUUCCCUGCUAAGAGACCGAAUUGGAAUUUGACAUGAUUUAUCAAGACUCACGGUAGACGCGCUACUUUGGGUGGAGACGAUAGAGGGAGAGAGAGAAGGGAAAAAACAGCUGGUUGUUUUCAGAGAAAGGGAAGCGACGCGGCAGACUCCCUAGCACUGGCAGACUAAUAAUUCUUGCCACAUAAUGCAUGCUCUUUCCCUGCAUUUAGGAACACGCCACCACUCAACAUAUCAUCAGCAUCUCUGUUAUUCAGUCCCUCUGGACAAGCAAUGCUUUUACUCGUAGUGAUGCCCCACAUCCGUACAAAUUACAGGUGCGCGCGGACUGCAGAGCACGGCUUGAACUGAAAGCUUGCUGGACAAUGUUCUGCCCUUCUCCUUUGGAGGUCACAGCUAAGGUCGCUUCACAGCUGGACCAUAGGGCGAGAAGAUGAAAUGACAUCAGUACAGAGCAACACUGUCCACAGUGAAACUGGUGAUUUUUUUUUUUUUUUGCCCUGAAGAGAUUGCUGCUACACAGACGGUCCUCUCAGCAGAGGCCUGGCCUCCCCACCAUGAUGAGAAUACACUGUGACACGGAGUAGUGUUUUAAAGGCUUUUUAUUUUUAGAGCUCUGUGCUGGAAAGGAUCCACUGACCAUCUCAUCUACACAAAGCAUGGGAUUUAGAAAGGGGGAGAGACCAAAAGAGACAGUCUCUUAACAUUACUGCUUGUUUUGUUUCUCCGUUCGUUAGUUUCCGUUAUGACGGCCGUCAUUUUUGAAAUGGCUUUUCUGUUCUGUAGCUAAUGUUAAAAUAUUUUGUCAAAAAUGCUUUUAUUGGCAAUGGGUUCAGGCCUACACCUCAGCGUGGAAUGGGUGAGACACCUGCACUGGGCAUGCUUUUUGAAUAACGAUGAUUAAUGUAUAGAGUGGGGAAGGUCCAAGAAGGGUUUGCCGUGGUCGGAGUAGCUGACGUUUUGAUUGUGGAAAGGGUGGGCAACCCGUUGAGCCAUUCUACAGCUGAAGGAUCUGACACGUGUUGUGACAUGCCCCGACGUCACUACAGCAGUGUGGCGGUGACGCGGUCGGCGUGAACGCUUGCUGUGUCCUCUAGCUGUCAGCGCGAAUUCCCGACUUCCUUUCCCUCACAGGCCUAGCUUGGUCAUGUCACACGUUCCUCUGUGUCCUCUAGCUGUCAGCGCGAAUUCCCGACUUCCUUUCCCUCACAGGCCUAGCUUGGUCAUGUCACACGUUCCUCUGUGUCCUUGGUUGCUGUUGGGUCACUGUGACCAAACUAACCCAGAGGCAAUCUUACGCAGGGAUUUGAACCCUGGAAUCGCUUAGCGUGAUUUUUAAAGAAAACGUCCAUUGAGUUGCUGCAUCUUUUCAACCCCAGAGUCGCUAAGGAAGAUGGGCUGCUCAGAUCCUCCUGUCUCUUGCCCUGUCCUGAUAACAGAUUGUGUGUGAAAGGACUGGUAUUGUCAAUUCUUCACAAUGGAAUUGAUUGCAUUGUACUAAAUAACAAAAAACAUUCUUACAAAAAAGGAGAAUGACGCUCAAAGAACUCUGUUUGUGUACCCCUUUAAGUGAUGUUUUUAUUCUUACUACCCUGACAUUUUCUGCAUACAAUAGUGCGUAUGAAGUUGAAUAGCAAAUUACUUUACAAAUUAUGACCAGGUUCGUAGUCAAUGCAGCAUCCUUGACAUUGUAACCUUGGAUUGAAAGGCUGAUUAUUCUCACUGAUUACAGCAGUCUAGUAUGAAUGGCUAAGGAGAAGGCGUAGCAGUAUUCAGUGUUUGCAGUCCCGUCACAUUUUUCUGAGGACAAGGUGAGAAAAUGGUCGCCACAACAAUGAAACGAGUGAAUUAACUGCCAGCCGCUCAGCGGUUUUUCAACAACGGACAUCCUUCGAUGUUUGUUUGUUUCACUUCUUUAUUCGUCACCCUCUUCCCGUCCCUCUCCCCAAAGACGUAGGCAGUAGCUUUGAAUGACGCCGGCUAUUGAAGUUCGUCGGACUCGUAGCAACAGCCCCACUCUGAAAACAAAAUGGCCUCCGCACAAUACGGACUGAGGGGAGCUGUCAGUGAGAAGACAAGCAAAACAGGCAGCCUGUGGAAAACACUGCAAAGAAUGAAGAGAAUACCAAUAUGGAGAGAUGGGAGAAGUCAAAGAUGAACAACUGAUUAGAAUGCCAAGGGGCUUGGCUCUGGUUGGAUGUUUGAAUACCACUCCAGACAGAAAGGCACACACACACACUUAUAAACACAAGAUGGAGGGAGUAUGAGUGUUCCUGAUGAUGCUGUCUUCUCCUGCAGUCUUUCUGAGAGCUGUGUGGGCUGUGUGUACAGUACCGCUAUGUACUAUCUACUGAGUGCUGAAAGAAGGGGAGGGGGUGGCAGUAGGGGUGGCGGAAUGAAAUCAAGUGUACUAACGUGGACUCAUUACUGCUUCUCCCACAGGGGUGGCCGUUUAGGAGAGUGAGGUGGCUCAUCAACCCCAUGGGCCUCUAAGUAUACAUGAGCACUUAACUUUCUGUAUCCACCAG